CUUGGUCAUUUAGAGGAAGUAAAAGUCGUAACAAGGUUUCCGUAGGUGAACCUGCGGAAGGAUCAUUAAUGUAACCGGACCGGUCCUCUGCCGUAAAACGCAGCGGAUGGGAAUGGGAGAUAUCAUACACCCUAUGUUUAUUUACUUUUGUUGCUUUGGCGGGCCGUCCUUUUAGGCGUCGGCCCCGGCUGAUCGCGCCCGCCAGAGGACCCAAACUCUUUUAUCAGUGAUGUCUGAGUACUAUAAUAAUAGUUAAAACUUUCAACAACGGAUCUCUUGGUUCUGGCAUCGAUGAAGAACGCAGCGAAAUGCGAUAAGUAAUGUGAAUUGCAGAAUUCAGUGAAUCAUCGAAUCUUUGAACGCACAUUGCGCCCGCUGGUAUUCCGGCGGGCAUGCCUGUUCGGGCGUCAUUAUGACCAAUCAAGCUCUGCUUGGCCUUGGGGCCCGCUGUACCGGCGGCCCUUAAAAUCAGUGGCGGUGCCGUCUGGCUCUAAGCGUAGUAAUACUUCUCGCUACAGGGUCCAGCCGUCCACCCGCCAGAACCCCCAACUUUCUCAGGUUGACCUCGGAUCAGGUAGGGAUACCCGCUGAACUUAAGCAUAUCAAUAAGCGGAGGA
rnacentral:rRNA from 1 species